rnacentral:tRNA from 1 species
CGGAACGUAGGCUAGCCCGGUCAAGUCGCUCGAUUUGGGGUCGAGACACCGCAGGUUCAAAUCCUGCCGUUCCGACCA